ACUUUAGUUCUAGGAAGUCAGCGUGAAACGCCUGAAGUUUUCUGCCUCCAGACUCUACUCUCCUGCCUCAAUUCUACUCUCUACUUUUAUAAGCUCGACUCACAUCCACCACAAGAAGAGCAUAUUCUAGAAAAGAGCUGCUCCUUUAGCCCGAAGGCUGGAAUGAAGACAUGGAAUAGAGCUGGAGCUGACCCUAGCUGUUGUGUAUCAUGAAAAAGAAGUGAACCUUUAUUAAUGUAAAUCACUAGGAUUUUAUGUCACUUGUUACCAUGUGAUGACUAGCGAAAGCUGAACUGGAUUUCGCUAUAUAUUUCAGAUAUAAUUCUAGCGUGCAGAAUGAGCGGACUCAUGUGAUUGGCAUACUUUACAGAAUUCUGUCUGCAUCAGGCUAACUUUUGUCUGAAUAUGCUGCAAGUUACUCAAGCUAGCGGCUGAAAAUGCAUUUGU
rnacentral:lncRNA from 10 species